UACGAAGGGGGCUAGCGUUGCUCGGAAUCACUGGGCGUAAAGCGCACGUAGGCGGAUUGUUAAGUCAGAGGUGAAAUCCUGGAGCUCAACUCCAGAACUGCCUUUGAUACUGGCGAUCUCGAGUCCGGGAGAGGUGAGUGGAACUGCGAGUGUAGAGGUGAAAUUCGUAGAUAUUCGCAAGAACACCAGUGGCGAAGGCGGCUCACUGGCCCGGUACUGACGCUGAGGUGCGAAAGCGUGGGGAGCAAACAGG
rnacentral:rRNA from 1 species